rnacentral:tRNA from 1 species
GUCGUGGUGGCUGAGUGGUUAAGCGCUUGGCUUCCGAACAUGGGGUCCUGGGUUCGAAUCUCGGCGAAUGACU